UACGUAGGGUGCGAGCGUUGUCCGGAAUUAUUGGGCGUAAAGGGCUCGUAGGCGGUUUGUCGCGUCGGGAGUGAAAACGCCGUGCUUAACACGGCGCUUGCUUUCGAUACGGGCAGACUAGAGGUAUUCAGGGGAGAACGGAAUUCCUGGUGUAGCGGUGGAAUGCGCAGAUAUCAGGAGGAACACCGGUGGCGAAGGCGGUUCUCUGGGAAUGACCUGACGCUGAGGAGCGAAAGCGUGGGGAGCGAACAGG
rnacentral:rRNA from 1 species